AUCAGCAACAGUAGUCACUACUUCCCUUGCGCUGUGGAUACAUGUGGUAUUGUUUAUCUUGGAAUGCAACAGUGUUUCUUGCAAACGGGGAAUGCAAUUAUUUCUCUGAAAUGAAAUGUACUGGCUUCUCAGUAAACCGACUCGUACCAGACAUGACCACUGCAGAUGUUGCCUCCGUCCCUGCAGAUGAUGACCAGCUCUGUCUUUAAAGGAGAGAACAAGACAUCCCCCACAUGGUUCCAGCCUAGAGCUACAAGACCCUAGAAUGAUGACCAGCUCUGUCUUUAAAGGAGAGGACAAGACAUCCCCCACAUGGUUCCAGCCUAGAGCUACAAGACCCUAGAAUGAUGACCAGCUCUGUCUUUAAAGGAGAGGACAAGACAUCCCCCACAUGGUUCCAGCCUAGAGCUACAAGACCCUAGAAUGAUGACCAGC